AUUGAACGCUGGCGGCAUGCUUUACACAUGCAAGUCGAACGGCAGCGCGGGCUUCGGCCUGGCGGCGAGUGGCGAACGGGUGAGUAAUACAUCGGAACGUGCCCAGUAGUGGGGGAUAGCUCGGCGAAAGCCGGAUUAAUACCGCAUACGACCUGAGGGUGAAAGCGGGGGAUCUUCGGACCUCGCGCUAUUGGAGCGGCCGAUGGCAGAUUAGCUAGUUGGUGGGGUAAAGGCCUACCAAGGCGACGAUCUGUAGCUGGUCUGAGAGGACGACCAGCCACACUGGGACUGAGACACGGCCCAGACUCCUACGGGAGGCAGCAGUGGGGAAUUUUGGACAAGGGGCGAAAGCCUGAUCCAGCAAUGCCGCGUGUGUGAUGAAGGCCUUCGGGUUGUAAAGCACUUUUGGCGGGAACGAAAAGGACUGUGCCAAUACCACGGUUCGAUGACGGUACCCGCAGAAUAAGCACCGGCUAACUACG
rnacentral:rRNA from 1 species